GUCAGGUAGGACAGCAGGUAAGGAAACGUAAAGCGUUUGGGCAGGAGGAGCUCGCCCCGGCACCCCAUGUCCGCCGGAUGUAGCCAUGGCGAUACCGGAGCGAGGACACCGGCGUUGGGCGAGCGAUCAGGAGCCGCGGCGUCCGUUAUGGGGGGCGACGGGAUAGCAUACACGGGGGCGACGACGUCUGCCAGAGGCAUGAAGUUCCGGGCGUAGGGAGGACGCCGGAGAGGCGGCCAUCUGGGCAGGAGGAGGUCGCCCCAUCGCCUGACGUUGAGCUGUCGGGUGUGUCCUGCAUGACAUUCAGCUCCGGAGACGGCGCUGGUCGGUGGUAGAAGGCGGGGCUGGCGUACAUUCGUACGCCGCAGUCGGGCCGCGUACCAUCAACGCCUACAGCGUGCCGUGCGCCAUGGAGGCCUGCAUCGCAACGCACACCGUCAACGCCUGCAGCGUGCUUCAGAGUGUGCGCCCCGGUCCUCUGGCGCCGGCGAACACAACUAUCCUCGUCAGUACAGUACUCCGGCGAACACAACUAUCCUCGUCAGUACAGUACUCCAGCAUGAGCAUGAAUAAGCAGAUCAUCAUGGUGUUCCUAGCUACGAUGCGUAUGUCGUUCAUGGAGCGGCCCAUCCCAAGCAUGACGUUGCUCCCACCUCCGGCCGACUUGAUCAGAAGGUUGUGCGUGUUCUGUUUGAAUGAGAUGCUUGUGCGUGUUUGAAUGAGGCCGUUGCAAGCGAUCAAUACUGUCCGGUUGCAUGCUCUUUAAAUACAUCCAGGUUGAAAAGUCUUUACAUUA